UAGGAAAAAUACGAGUGCUAAAUCUACGAAACAAAAAUUAGAGAACAUUAGUAAGAGGCACUAGUACAUGUUGGGAGCAAGUCGCACCAGCGAUUUCUAUCCCUGUUCUCUUCUAAGUUACCAUGUGAUGUUAUCCUUCAAAAACUAUCCACUAAACACUAACCCACCAUGACUAAGAAUAAGUUUGAAUAUGAAUGUUGUAAUUUUUUGAAUGUGCAUCAGUAUAACCUAUUCCAGUACUAUACAGUAUGCAUACAUGGUAGUCUUUUGAAAUCAUGAAUGCCACUACACGUACUGAAACCCAUCAGCUGGACUCAUCUAGUAUCUGUGUGUAGUGAGAAAGGAGUUUCACAUAAUUAUUUAGAGUGCAAUUUCCCACAUCUGUUUCAAGGAAUCUAGCCACUAAGCUAUCGCUUUGCUUUCUCUUUUUCAACAGUUGUCAAAUCAAUCAUCUGCUUCGGAAACUAAAAAGUUUUGCAAGUUUUGCAGUCAUGGUCCAAUAUUCCUUUGCAGCAAGAAAGGAGAAAGAAACUGUUAAAACCAAAUACUUGUGUGCUUUAAUUUUUCCUUGAAUCAAUAUCGUAGCCAUCACUAGUGCGGAACAUGUCUGCAAGGAAAUAUUACUUCAAAACAUUGUAGACUACCUCAGUCUUCAUUAUUUCAAAGACAAAGUUAUUAUAAAAGAUUAGGAGUAAAGAUGCAUGUAAUCUAAG
rnacentral:lncRNA from 1 species